rnacentral:rRNA from 1 species
UUAAGUGACUAAGCGUACACGGUGGAUGCCUGGGCAGUCAGAGGCGAUGAAGGACGUACUAACUUGCGAUAAGCGCAGAUGAGGCAGUAAGAGCCGUUUGAGUCUGCGAUUUCCGAAUGGGGAAACCCAACUGCAUAAGCAGUUACUGUUAACUGAAUACAUAGGUUAACAGAGCAAACCGGGGGAACUGAAACAUCUAAGUACCCCGAGGAGAAGAAAUCAACCGAGAUUCCGGUAGUAGCGGCGAGCGAACCUGGAUUAGCCCUUAAGCACUCGGUGAAGUAGGUGAACAAGCUGGAAAGCUUGGCGAUACAGGGUGAUAGCCCCGUAACCGACGCUUCAUCGAGCGUGAAAUCGAGUAGGGCGGGACACGUGAUAUCCUGUCUGAAUAUGGGGGGGACCAUCCUCCAAGGCUAAA